UUUGCAACAGUCUCUGGUGUUGAUGUAAGUUUAUCCUCGCACAUACUUGUCCCGAUGGUGCGCCUGUUUUGGCUUGGUGGUGUACCCUUCAGGGUUGGGUUUGCCUAAGUCAUUGGUUCUUUGGUUAUCUUCGGUCUUAUGUUUCUCAGGAGUGUCUGGGAGUUAUGAUCAGUCCACCAGUUCCAACUUUAGUACAUGUGGCUCUCUAAUGCUUUUUUCUCGU
rnacentral:lncRNA from 1 species